CAACAUUGAAUGGUUUUAUUUUCAAAGUCUUGUUUGUAGUUCCUAUGUCUUGGGAACAACUUUCUAGGUCUUGGGGGCAGUUUUCCAUAUCUAGGACUUGUUAUUUAUGUAUGGGGAAUUCCAAAGGGGUUUGGAAUUCUAAUGGUAUUUUUAAUGAUUAUUUUGCUGUACUCAAGAUUUCUAUCUCU